rnacentral:rRNA from 1 species
AUACAACUUUCAGCAACGGAUCUCUUGGCUCUCGCAUCGAUGAAGAACGCAGCGAAUUGCGAUAUGUAAUGUGAAUUGCAGAUUUUCAGUGAAUCAUCGAAUCUUUGAACGCACCUUGCGCUCCUUGGUAUUCCGAGGAGCAUGCCUGUUUGAGUGU